GAUGAACGCUAGCGGGAGGCCUAACACACGCAAGCCGAGCGGUAUUUAUUCUUCGGAAUAGAGAGAGCGGCGUACGGGUGCGGAACACGUGUGCAACCUGCCUUUAUCAGGGGGAUAGCCUUUCGAAAGGAAGAUUAAUACCCCAUAAUAUAUUGAAUGGCAUCAUUUAAUAUUGAAAACUCCGGUGGAUAGAGAUGGGCACGCGCAAGAUUAGAUAGUUGGUAGGGUAACGGCCUACCGAGUCAAUGAUCUUUAGGGGGCCUGAGAGGGUGAUCCCCCACACUGGUACUGAGACACGGACCAGACUCCUACGGGAGGCAGCAGUGAGGAAUAUUGGACAAUGGGUGAGAGCCUGAUCCAACCAUCCCGCGUGAAGGACGACGGCCCUAUGGGUUGUAAACUUCUUUUGUAUAGGGAUAAACCUUUCCACGUGUGGAAAGCUGAUGGUACUAUACGAAUAAGCACCGGCUAACUCCGUGCCAGCAGCCGCGGUAAUACGGAGGGUGCAAGCGUUAUCCGGAUUUAUUGGGUUUAAAGGGGCCGUACGCGGAUCUGUAAGUCAUUGGCGAAAUCUCUUAGCUUAUACUAUUAAACUGCCAUUGAUACUGCAGGCCUUGAGUAAAGUAGAAGUGGCUGGAAUAAGUGGUGUAGCGGUGAAAUGCAUAGAUAUUACUUACAACACCGAUUGCGAAGGCAGGUCACUAUGUUUUAACUGACGCUGAUGGACGAAAGCGUGGGGAGCGAACAUGAUUAGAUACCCUGGCAGUCCACGCCGUAAACGAUGCUAACUCGUUUUUGGGUCUUCGGAUUCAGAGACUAAGCGAAAGUGAUAAGUUAGCCACCUGGGGAGUACGUUCGCAAGAAUGAAACUCAAAGGAAUUGACGGGGGCCCGCACAAGCGGUGGAUUAUGUGGUUUAAUUCGAUGAUACGCGAGGAACCUUACCGAGGCUUAAAUGGGAAUUGACAGGUUUAGAAAUAGACUUUUCUUCGGCCAAUUUUCAAGGUGCUGCAUGGUUGUCGUCAGCUCGUGCCGUGAGGUGUUAGGUUAAGUCCUGCAACGAGCGCAACCCCUGUCACCAGUUGCCAUCAUUCAGUUGGGGACUCUAGUGAGACUGCCUACGCAAGUAGAGAGGAAGGUGGGGAUGACGUCAAAUCAUCUCGGCCCUUACGCUUUGGGCCACACACGUAAUACAAUGACCGGUACAGAGGGCAGCUACCUAGCGAUAGGAUGCGAAUCUCGAAAGCCGGUCUCAGUUCGGAUUGGAGUCUGCAACUCGACUCUAUGAAGCUGGAAUCGCUAGUAAUCGCAUAUCAGCCAUGAUGCGGUGAAUACGUUCCCGGGCCU
rnacentral:rRNA from 1 species